rnacentral:rRNA from 1 species
AUUGAACGCCGGCGGCAUGCCUUACACAUGCAAGUCGAACGGUAACAGGUCUUCGGAUGCUGACGAGUGGCGAACGGGUGAGUAAUACAUCGGAACGUGCCCGAGAGUGGGGGAUAACGAGGCGAAAGCUUUGCUAAUACCGCAUACGAUCUCAGGAUGAAAGCAGGGGACCGCAAGGCCUUGCGCUCACGGAGCGGCCGAUGGCAGAUUAGGUAGUUGGUGGGAUAAAAGCUUACCAAGCCGACGAUCUGUAGCUGGUCUGAGAGGACGACCAGCCACACUGGGACUGAGACACGGCCCAGACUCCUACGGGAGGCAGCAGUGGGGAAUUUUGGACAAUGGGCGCAAGCCUGAUCCAGCCAUGCCGCGUGCAGGAUGAAGGCCUGCGGGUUGUAAACUGCUUUUGUACGGAACGAAAAGACUCUGGUUAAUACCUGGGGUCCAUGACGGUACCGUAAGAAUAAGCACCGGCUAACUACGUGCCAGCCGCCGCGGUAACAC